rnacentral:tRNA from 1 species
GGAGAAGUACCCAAGAGGCUGAAGGGACUGGUUUCGAAAACCAGCAGACGUGCAAGCGUGCGAGGGUUCGAACCCCUCCUUCUCCGCCA